rnacentral:rRNA from 1 species
AGUGAUGUGUUGAGCUAACCCAUACUAAUUACCCGUGAGGCUUAACCAUACAACACCCAAGAAGUGUUCU